CCCUAAGCCCCGGCCACCCUCCUGCUUCCGCCUGGGUCUCAUCCUUAGAGACGGAGCGGAGCCGCCUCUCCCCGGGGUAAAGUUCGAUCUGCCGAAUUCCUCUGUGCGCCUAGCCUUAGGGAGCGGGUUGGGGGCCUGGUGACCCUAGUCCUCUCUGAGCCGAGGUGGGGGCAACGGCUGGGACACCCCCCUCCCGGAGGCGCGAAAUCCAAGGAGGAAGUGACACCUAUCAACCAGCCUGACGGUGGGGGCGCCCCAUCCGGCCCUUCCCACUCCACCGUUCCCGGAGCCUCCAAGCCAGGGACGUUCGCGCCCCAGGCUCGGGUGGGAGAACCCCAGGAUACCGAGGCGAGGCGAUGGGGGCUGAGUCACCAGGAAUGUGAAUCCCACCCAAGAUCAACCUCCCACAAACCCCAGGUCCAAGAAUGUGUCUCUCCUCGCUCUCCUCGUGCGCCCCGCCCCCCAGCGGACACUUCCUCCCACGGCAUUACCCACUGCUACAGAAAAGAGUGAAGCUUAUCUGGAAAGAAAAUUCUGGCAAAGACGACGGGAGAGCCCCUGUGCCGUCUCUGGAGUGGAGUACAGGAAGCCCCACCCAAGCCUGCCUUUCAGAAGUGGCCCAGAGAGGGAACCACAUGGAGGCCCUAAAAUGAUGCCUUUUGGAAAUUCUGACUCAUUUGGCGGCAGGGGUUAUUUAUGCAACGUUCAAAAGGUCUCCCAAGGAGUGACAUAUUGACUGUUCUUCCGCCAGGUCUCUUCCCUGUGGCCAGCGUCUCUACCACUGUGCACCCAGAAGCAGGGGCCAAUUUCAAAAGCCUGGAGAAGUUAUUCAGAAAGAGUAAACGAAAGCGGGAAUGAGUCUUCUGGCUAAUCGAAACCCUUGUGUGCGAAUGGGUAAACUGAGGCAAGAGGGCAGGAAGGAGGGACCCUACCUGUACCGUCCCAAGCCUGGCUGGGGGAUCCAUCCCUUUCCACCCCUUCCCCCUUAGUGAUGACUCACGUUAGUGCUGCUGGCUGAGCACAGAUGGAAAGCUUGCACUGGGGUAGCCAUUUCUGGGACGCCUCAUCAGAGACGUGCCCAUCUGGGCAUGGAAAGCUGGUUCUCAUCCUGGUUCCGCUCGCAGCUGCCUCUUUCUUCGUUUCCUCCUUUGCUGCUCCUCCAAGUAUGAGUCUAUCUUUUCUCCCUCUGGUCCUACUGUGUGCUGGUAGGGUGAGCAGACCCACCAGCCCAGUUUGUUCAUCUCUCCAAGUAGUCUGCCUUCCCCACUGGCAGCUGCCACCCCAAAACCAAGUAAGCUCGGGAACCGAAGUAAUUCAGGCUGUUCUUCCAGAUGCACGAAUUGUGGUGCUUUUAUAAAAUUAAAAUACAACAUGUGUUGGAAGCAAGGGCUAGAUUCUGGGAUUACUGAGUUCUAGCCCUUGUAAAUACUACUCACUAGCACUGUAACUUUGGGUCAUUUCUGAGUCUCUGACUCCAUGAAAUGGGAGAACUGGAAAAGAUCAUCUCUAAGUUACUCCUCCCAAUUUAAAAAAUGUGAAAUUUCUUUUCAAAUUUAAUUGAUUUAUUAAUUAAUCUGCAUUGGGUCUUAGUGGCGGCAUGAAGGAUCUUUGGUUGCGGAUUCUUGAGUUGUGGCGAGCGGACCCUGGAGCUCGGGGCUCAGCGGUUGCAGUAUGUGGACUUAGCUACUCCCCAGCAUGUGGGAUGUUCCCCGACCAGGGGUCAAACCGACAUCUCCUGCAGUACAAGUGGAUUCUCAACCACUGGACCACCAGGGAAGUCCCCAAAUAAUAUGCAUCUUGAUUGUACUGGAUAAUAAUGCCAUUGAGCAUGGCUAUUAAACACUACUAUUAUCUUACACUAAAGCAUAAGUAAUUACAGAAGCAAACAUGUUAAGGUAAAAUUGACAAACUUUAUUCUUAACAAAAUAAAAUCCUUCUGAAAGAGCCUGGUCAUGUUUCUCUCAUCAGUGGGCAAGCCAAUCUAUUCUCUCUGCUUUUGCUUAAGGAGCACCUUAAGUGGUUUUAUUUUU